AAUGAACGUUGGCGGCGUGGAUUAGGCAUGCAAGUCGGACGGGCCGCAAGGCCAGUGGCGCAAGGGUGAGUAAGGCGACGGCAAUCCACCCCACGGUUGGGUAUAGCCGCGAGAAAUCGCGGGUAAUCCCCAGCGACGCAGGACGUCGGCAUCGAUGUCCUGCCAAAGGCUCGCCGCCGUGGGACGAGCCGUCGUGGUAUUAGGUCGUUGGCGGGGUAACGGCCCACCAAGCCUGCGAUGCCUACCGGGCGUGCGAGCGUGGCCCGGCACACUGGGACUGAGACACUGCCCAGACUCCUACGGGAGGCUGCAGUCGAGAAUCUUCGGCAAUGGGCGCAAGCCUGACCGAGCGACGCCGCGUGGAGGACGAAGGCCUCGGUU
rnacentral:rRNA from 1 species